AUCCACAAAUGAAUGGAUAAACAAAAUGUAGUAUUUAUACAUAAUGCAGUAGAAGAAUAAACCUAGUCAUUUCUGGGAAAAUGGAUGCACCUUGAUGCCAUAAUGGCUCCAAGUCUCCUGUGGCCGCCCUUGAUAAUUCUCCAGGAACCAGGGAUCUGUAAAUUGGAAGAGAUAGGUCUCCAGGAGAGACUGAGAUGCUAUGGUGUGGUAUGAGGAGGCUUUGGGGAGCACCCAGCAGAAGACACCCCGAAAGAGAUGAAUACACAAAAUGGACUUGGACUCCUCCCAAGCUGCCGGAACUGUAACCCUUACUAGUAUUAAUCAGAAUAAAGCUUUUUCAGGCAGCAAGAGAGCUUUGCAACGCUAUCUAUCUCCCCCCAGUCCAUGUACUGAGGAUACUGCCUAUGCUUGGAGGCUUUGUGGAGACACGGGAUGGAGAUGGUGAGUGGAAAAGGAUAUGAACUCUCCCUUCUCCAGACUCCAGUACUCCAAGGACAGAUAGGUCCCUGAAAAUGGUGCUACAAAAAAGCAUUCAGAAAGUUAGU
ensembl:lncRNA